AGGACGAACGCUGGCGGCGUGCUUAACACAUGCAAGUCGAGCGGUAAGGCCCUUCGGGGUACACGAGCGGCGAACGGGUGAGUAACACGUGAGCAAUCUGCCCUUCACUUUGGGAUAACCCCCGGAAACGGGAGCUAAUACCGAAUAUGACCCUGCCGUGCAUGUGGUGGGGUGGAAAGUUCUGGCGGUGGAGGAUGAGCUCGCGGCCUAUCAGCUUGUUGGUGGGGUAAUGGCCUACCAAGGCUUCGACGGGUAGCCGGCCUGAGAGGGUGACCGGCCACACUGGGACUGAGACACGGCCCAGACUCCUACGGGAGGCAGCAGUGGGGAAUAUUGGACAAUGGGCGAAAGCCUGAUCCAGCAACGCCGCGUGAGGGAUGACGGCCUUCGGGUUGUAAACCGUCUUUCAGCACAGACGAAGCGAAAGUGACGGUAUGUGCAGAAGAAGCACCGGCCAACUACGUGCCAGCAGCCGCGGUAA
rnacentral:rRNA from 1 species